rnacentral:rRNA from 1 species
GAUGAACGCUAGCGGCAGGCUUAAUACAUGCAAGUCAAGGGGGUAGCAAUACAACCGGCGCACGGGGUGAGUAACGCGUACACAACAUACCAUAUACUGGGGUAUAGCUUUGGGAAACUGAAGGUAAUCCCCCAUAACAUUGCGAGAGGGGCAUCUGAUUGCAAUUAAAGUUUCGGCGGUAUAUGAUUGGUGUGCGUUUGAUUAGCUAGUUGGUAGGGUAACGGCCUACCAAGGCACGAUCAAUAGCUGGCGUGAGAGCGCGACCAGCCACACUGGAACUGAGACACGGUCCAGACUCCUACGGGAGGCAGCAGUGGGGAAUUUUGGACAAUGGGCGGAAGCCUGAUCCAGCCAUGCCGCGUGAGUGAAGAAGGCC